AGUGAACGCUGGCGGUAGGCCUAACACAUGCAAGUCGAACGGCAGCACAGUAAGAGCUUGCUCUUACGGGUGGCGAGUGGCGGACGGGUGAGGAAUACAUCGGAAUCUACUUUUUCGUGGGGGAUAACGUAGGGAAACUUACGCUAAUACCGCAUACGACCUACGGGUGAAAGCAGGGGAUCUUCGGACCUUGCGCGAUUGAAUGAGCCGAUGUCGGAUUAGCUAGUUGGCGGGGUAAAGGCCCACCAAGGCGACGAUCCGUAGCUGGUCUGAGAGGAUGAUCAGCCACACUGGAACUGAGACACUGUCCAGACUCCUACGGGAGGCAGCAGUGGGGAAUAUUGGACAAUGGGCGCAAGCCUGAUCCAGCCAUACCGCGUGGGUGAAGAAGGCCUUCGGGUUGUAAAGCCCUUUUGUUGGGAAAGAAAAGCAGCAGGUUAAUACCCCGCUGUUCUGGCGGUACCCAAAGAAUAAGCACCGGCUAACUUCGUG
rnacentral:rRNA from 1 species